UAAAAGUUGUUGGCAGGCUCAAUCUGGCUAGUUGCCAUGGUCUGUGUGCCCAUGCUCUGAGGUAGAAACUGUGAGCUAGCAGACGUUUCCCCUGGCUGUGGAGAACAGUCGCUAUCACCGGCUCUGGUGACAUCUAUGUUCUUGGAUGAGAAGACACAUACACUGUUGAGCACCAAGCAUUGGAGGACACAAGUGUGGGAUGUGGGGGUGUGACACUUGGCCCUCAUAACACCAUUCACAGUCAAGGCCCUCUCCUUGGAAUACUGGACAGCUGCACAGAACUGUUAACCUCUGAGGCAGUUAUCUUCCAUCUCGUCUGAAGAAACAAAUGAAGAAAGAAAAGUUUCUGAAGAAACUUCUCCAAAGACAUAUACUAACUAGUAAUUAACAGAAUGUGGAGUUAAUCUGCAGUCUGGUCUUAAUUUUAUCUCUUAAAAUAGUAUGCGUGAAUUUUUUUUUCAAAAAUGACUAAGCAAACAUUUCUUGUAUAUCUUCAAUACGUAAAAUAUUUAUUUAAACAAGAAAAUGAAGAAAAAAGGAAGAAUGAAGAUAAGAGGAGAAGAGGAAGCAAGACAUGAGAGGCCAGACCUACUACAUCUUGUGACCAGCCUCCACCUUAAAAGAAAAAGAGCCUGAGAACUUGACCAGCAGCUGAAUCCGAGCUGCACCCAAGUCCUGGGAAGAACCCCAUGGCUUGGCCUUGGCCAGUACCCCAGAGUUACUCCCUUGUUACUUCCUAGCAACAGCUAAUCAAAGAGUGGUCUGAUUGUUUCAGAUGUACCAUUUGUUAUUGUUCACAGUCUUGCUUCAGAGCACUGUCAGCUUCCAAUAGUCAUUCAAUUAGAUGCUUGCUGAGAUAAAUUGCCCCUCCCUUUCUCCCAUCUCCCAUAAAACCUUGUCCCGAUGAGAAUUCGGGGCUGUGUCAGGGUUGACGAGGUACCCAAGCUUGAGUUUGUGACUCUAAUGCGAUUACAUUGUGGUCGGCUCUUUGCUGGUCUAUUGGGGUUCAUGAACACUUCCUGGCACAACAGACCAAGGAUUUUCUAAUCCCAAAGAUUUGAGGAUAAAGGACACAGACCCAAGUCAUGAUGGCCAAAUUAAUUGUAGCCAGCAUUUUUAUUCAUGUACAUGAACUAUCUUCCCAUAAGUCAAGGUUCUAGAGGUCAUCCUUGAACAUGGGGAACAUAGGCUUUUAUAGUUCAGGGGUAGGACAUUUCCAAAUGGGGGAUUUGGCAGGCAAAUAGGUGGGGUUAUAGAAGCAGAACGUAAUAAGGUAGUCAUAACACUGUAGUCAUAAUAACACUUUGACACAAAGAUAGGUUUUCAAAAAUGUACCUGAAACAAAGGCUUGGUUGCAAUGUGGUUUGAAACAAAGAUAAGGCUGCUGUUUCCAGGAAGAGACAGUACAGAACCACUUAUAGUAAAAAUUGCAGAUGAGGCAUAGCCUGGUCUUUGAGAUACAGAGAUUUAAUCAUAAACAGGAAUAAGCCUAGUCUUCAUAAGAUGAUUUUACAGCCUAAGAUAGAGGUAGUCAGGUUCAUCACAAGAAACUUCAGAACUCCAGGGAACAAACCAACUAAAACAUUUGAAAAAAGGAAUACGAAAAGUUUUAUGUGGUUUUUGACAAAUUUGCUCAUUAUUGCUUUAAUGUUUUCUGGGCUGUGAACCGUGAUUAGUAUACAGAUUAGUUCCUGGUUGUGUUGCUUGACUCAGUUAGAAAACAUCAAUGAAUUUUAACCCAAGGCUUAAACUAUCUAAUAGGAGCAGGUGUUUCACACCCACACCAAUCCCUGUUCUUCUGUAACCUCCUCUAGAAUUAGAAUCAAACUAGAAUCUUGGUCCUGUGUAGAUCUGAGAGCACCUUAAACCCGGCUUUUAAGACACUAGAUACUUUUCAAAUGUAUAAUUAUCAGAAUUCAGAUCUGAGUCUUGUUUCCAGCAAUGCAACUAGAUGUGCUCAGCCCCUGUCCCUAAUAAGGAAACUGAAAGAGCUAACUUACAGUGAAAAACAGAGAUUUGUUCAAUGUAAUCACACUGGGAAGAGAGAAAAAGAAACUGAGCCAUUAGAGCCCUAACACAACAUUAAGUAGAUGGGAAGAACUAUGUAUAAUUCAUCAGGUCUUGUUAAAGUGUGGUUUCCCCAUCAUUGACUCACCAUUGUCUGGGCUUCACCAGGUUUCACAAGAUGGAAUAUUUUUUGAAGAGACAAGUUCCUCCACUGGUUGCCCUGAGAGACUCAGCCUUUCUACUUUAGUAGGAGAAUCUUGAGGAAAUUUCAAUGUCCUAGGGGAUAGAACAAGUAUGUCUUUAAAAUAUCUUCAGUUCUACCAGAAAGUUAAAUGGAAUUCUAUCUUCAAUAAUAUACUGAACUCAGACUGUCUCCUGAGUGGUCAAAAUGCAUCAGCUAUCCACUGGGAAUGCCUCCCUCUGCCUGACAUGGCAAUAGUGGGGUAGUUACUGCAAUUCUGAACUUGUAUUUUUUUAUUUGCAUUUAUUUAUUUGUAGAAGACUUUCUCCCCCUUAUUUUGUAGGUACUUCUCCCCUCAGAACAUUUGGGGAUCCUGUGGCUUUUCUUUCUUAUACUAGUCCCUGAAUUUGUACAGAUGUGCAGGUAGUUCUCAUCCUGCAUGCCAAUCUGUCACACUGCCAGCUCCUCUGAAUGGUCGGCAGCUUGGAAGAUAUAUUUGAAUUGAUACGGAGACACUGAAUGGCACAGACUCUGACACAAUCUGCUGAGUUCAAAUAUAAAAUUGACUCCGGCCACUAAAAAAAACACUCCAAGCUCUUUCAUUAGUAAACCUCAGAAAACCACAAUAAAUCAGCCCAUUAGGAUGCAGCCGCAUGUGCAAAUUGGUGUCUCAGCUAAUGUAGAUAAAGAUUUCAGUAAGCACUGCAUAUAUCAAAAAUUUAACACAUGCUGCUUGCAGAGUUUUAAUGAAUGCAGAAAGCUCAAUGGCUGAAAAUCCACACAACGGGGCCAUUAUUUCAUUUGCUGUCAAUAAAAUUGUUGCUUAUUUUAUUUUCUAAUGGUUUAUCAAUACUGGUAAUUUGCUCUAGGUGGGUUAUAAAAAUGAGGAGAGGGGAGCAGAAGGAAUUUAAAUAAGUUCUGCUAACUAGGGAAGAGGCAAGUGAGAAAACUGGACUCUUCUGCAUCAUCUGCAGAUCAGCUGGCAGGGAGAGGUGGUCCCUUGAUCUGGAACUUAACAUCUUCUUUGGAUCACUGACAUUAAGACAUGUCUUGACUAAGAAAAAAUGUUUUUUGUUCAUUUAUUUUAUUUUAUUUUAUUUUAUUUUAUCAUUUUCCCUUGCUUUGUGUAUAAUGUCUAGUUAACUAGUUGGUACCAAGGCCAUAAUCCCUGCCUUCAUACUUUGUUGGAGGAUGUAGAGUUAACUUAGAGCCUUUUUCUUGGGGAGGAAAAAGGAGGAAAUCCUACCAUUAUAGAAGAAGUAGCAAGUUUGUUAUGUUUUCCGUUCAAUAAUAGCUGUUUCUAAGCACUGCUCUCAAAGGCAUGGUUGUGUAGAUAUUCAGAGAACACCUUUACCCCAGAUCACAUGAACACAGUUUUGACUAAAUAGAUUCAUGAUAAUGAACUAACCACAACAAGAACAUAUUCACUGAUUGAUUCAUUCAGUAAAUAUGUAUGGCAAGUGAAUAGUAAUUAGCUCCCUUACUUUUUUUUAAUUAUUAUUUUCUUGCUGAGGAGCUUUAUUUGAAAGUCCCAAAGUCUUAGGUGUACAAGGAAAAUCAGACCUCAAUGGCCAUUUGUUUCUGAGGGUUUUUUUUUCUUCAUAAGACAGCUCUUCUGUUCCUUCUCUUUUUUUCCUCUCUCCCUUCCUUCCUCUUGACCCUUAAAUAAAAGUUAUAGGCAAUCAUUGUUUUUGACUGAGCUCCAUCUUCAGACCCUAAAAAUGUAGGGUGUCAAAUCAGAAUGUUCACUCACACUGAAUGUAUAUAGCACUAUGCUCAAGCAUAGCAGCUUGUCUGGCUUUCUGAGAAAACAGGAUUGUAGAGAAAUGAGACAGCUCUCUAGGAUGGACAGUUUUUAACUGAAGGAUAAUGCUUUCAUCCUCACACAAGAAAAAGGAGCCCAAGGUACCAUAGUGCUAACCUUUUAUUCUGUCCUUCUGACUCCUUGUUCUGACUGUACAGGGAAAGUGACUUUGACAUGACCUGCCUAUUUUUACUUUCUGGUUCUGCUUUCUUCAGCCAUUUCUGGUCUAUAAUCCACCCUCCUGGGCUAGGCUUGUGAAAACAUUUAUCCUGCUCCAAAGAUGAAAUGUUGCCCAUUUCUAGAAUUGAAAGAAAAACAAUGACGAUCAUGAAAGGCAUUUUGUAAUCUUCUUCUCUGACGCUUUCUUUCUUCUUUAAAAAAAUAAAUAAAUAUUUCUCUCUC